ACGGGUGAGUAAUACAUCGGAACGUGCCCAGUAGUGGGGGAUAGCCCGGCGAAAGCCGGAUUAAUACCGCAUACGACCUACGGGUGAAAGCGGGGGAUCGCAAGACCUCGCGCUAUUGGAGCGGCCGAUGUCAGAUUAGCUAGUUGGUGGGGUAAAAGCCUACCAAGGCGACGAUCUGUAGCUGGUCUGAGAGGACGACCAGCCACACUGGGACUGAGACACGGCCCAGACUCCUACGGGAGGCAGCAGUGGGGAAUUUUGGACAAUGGGCGCAAGCCUGAUCCAGCCAUGCCGCGUGUGGGAAGAAGGCCUUCGGGUUGUAAACCACUUUUGUCAGGGAAGAAACGGUCUGAUCUAAUAAAUCGGACUAAUGACGGUACCUGAAGAAUAAGCACCGGCUAACUACGUGCCAGCAGCCGCGGUAAUACGUAGGGUGCAAGCGUUAAUCGGAAUUACUGGGCGUAAAGCGUGCGCAGGCGGCUAUGCAAGACAGAUGUGAAAUCCCCGGGCUCAACCUGGGAACUGCAUUUGUGACUGCAUGGCUAGAGUACGGUAGAGGGGGAUGGAAUUCCGCGUGUAGCAG
rnacentral:rRNA from 1 species